ACAUUGUUCUGAGUUUUAUGGUAUUUAGGCUCAUGGAUGGUUGCCUCCACUGGACACAAGCGUAUCUUGCUAAUUCUUAACUCUCUUACAUCUGCACUUUUGUACGUCCUAGACUUCCAUUUAGACAGGAUGAGAGCAAAAUGACAAAGGAGGCACAGUUGUUGGGCCCAGGGAUGUUUGUUACAGAUUGGGGGGUGGGGUACCCUGUGCUACAGGAAAGGAUUCGCUGAGCUUGGGAUAGCAUUUAGAGGAAAGGAGAUCUGAGUUUCUCAGAGGAGGUGGUCUUUUCCCCAGAUCCUGAAAAGCAGGUAGAAAGCAAGAAUGGCAGGAAUUCAGUCCUUCCUUGCAGCAGGAACCAGAGGGUGUGUGCCGCAGGGCCACCUAGGGUAGGUUGUGGAAGGGUGUGCCAGGCAGAACACAUGGGCUUGUGCUUUGUUUGGCAGGGGCUGGGAGCCUGUUGUAUGUGUUCAGGUUCUUGGGGAUGCUGUGAGCCCUCUUGGAUCCUUAGGAGAGCCGGGGUUCACUGAUGGGACUGUGGCUGAUGUAGUGUCACAGAGAGCUUCCCAUCCUGGCCUUCAGACUGGAUCCUCUCAGGCAAGACUCUUCUUGAGGAGUGAUGCUCUUACCUGCCCUGAUCUCUGUGGGUAUGGCAGCUUGCAAAGAGUUUCUACCUCCCGUCUUCCCCUCCUCUUCCUCAACAAGGAACCCCGGGUAGACAACUUCCAAAGUUCUCGUUUGUCCUUGUCUAAGCUGCGAUGGUAACCUCACCAUAUGUGGACUGUGAGAUGCGUUUAUCAAUGAGGAGAUCACAGAUUCCUCGUGGGACACUCAUGUCCUGUUGUUCCAAGCAGCUUGACCCGUGACUGCUUGGGAAGUGUGUGCUUGGGGUCUCCUGUGGCUGGUGGCUGCUUGAUGUGGGGAACAUGCAUUUUAGGAAUCAGAUCUCGUUUUCUGUGAGAGGUGAG
rnacentral:lncRNA from 1 species